rnacentral:rRNA from 1 species
GAUGAACGCUGGCGGCGUGCCUAAUACAUGCAAGUCGAGCGAACAGACGAGGAGCUUGCUCCUCUGACGUUAGCGGCGGACGGGUGAGUAACACGUGGAUAACCUACCUAUAAGACUGGGAUAACUUCGGGAAACCGGAGCUAAUACCGGAUAAUAUAUUGAACCGCAUGGUUCAAUAGUGAAAGACGGUUUUGCUGUCUCUUAUAGAUGGAUCCGUGCCGCAUUAGCUAGUUGGUAAGGUAACGGCUUACCAAGGCGACGAUGCGUAGCCGACCUGAGAGGGUGAUCGGCCACACUGGAACUGAGACACGGUCCAGACUCCUACGGGAGGCAGCAGUAGGGAAUCUUCCGCAAUGGGCGAAAGCCUGACGGAGCAACGCCGCGUGAGUGAUGAAGGUCUUCGGAUCGUAAAACUCUGUUAUUAGGGAAGAACAAAUGUGUAAGUAACUAUGCACGUCUUGACGGUACCUAAUCAGAAAGCCACGGCUAACUACGUG